AGUACGUGAAACUGCUUAGAGGUUAAGCCCGAUGAACCUGAAUAUCCAUUAUGGAAAAUUCACCACUUAAUACCAAUAGUAUUAUAAUUAAUAUUAUGGGAACAGUGUGCACUUUUUCCAUAAAGGACAUUGUAAUCUGUUAAUGUUAAAAAUAUUUAUCAAAAGAUCAGUAACUUAAGUUUAUUCGAAUUUUUUUGGCUUGUUCAAAUUAACAUAGAAUAAAGGUCAUUGAUUUGAUAAAGCGUUGACAGAUUUGUUAUAUAUAGUGCUUAAAUUCUUUUGAAUUUUACAAUAGCAUAAAUAAUCAUAUGAUUUUUAUGUUUACUAUUGUAUGCGCUUAUAUGAUUUACAAUGCGAUAGAUUCAGGAUACCUUCGGGACCCGUCUUGAAACACGGACCAAGGAGUCUAACAUAUGUGCAAGCUAUUGGGAUAUUUUUCAAAAUAAACCCAAAAGCGAAAUUAACUUAACUGUUAAAAUGGGAUUAGUUUAUAUUUUAUUUAUUUAAAAUUUUAAAUUCAAUCCCGGGGCGUUCUAUAUAGUUAUGUAUAAUAAUGUUUUAUAUGUUAUUUAUACCUCUAACUAGAGC
rnacentral:rRNA from 1 species